GUUUGGUUGGAGGUUGGCGGUAGGAUCUUAUUUUCCUACAGUGUGUCUGUUGGAACUCUCAAUGUGUUGGCAAGCUACAAUAAAUAACAACAACUGCUACAGAUUAGUGGCUGUAUUUGCUGUGUUAACAGUCUUGGGGAAUCCCCAUUACAGAGGUGACAGGUCCAGGACUAGUGCUCAUAGAUUAUCCCCAGGCAGUAGCCAUGAUGUCUCUCCCUCAGUUGUGGGCUGUUUGUUUCUUCAUCAUAAUUAUUUUGCUGGGGCCAGAUACAG